UACAGAGGGUGCGAGCGUUAAUCGGAAUUACUGGGCGUAAAGGGCGCGUAGGCGGUACUUCAAGUCAGGCGUGAAAGCCCUGGGCUCAACCUAGGAAGUGCAUUCGAAACUCCCGAGCUUGAGUUCUGGAGAGGAAGGCGGAAUUCUCGGUGUAGAGGUGAAAUUCGUAGAUAUCGAGAGGAACACCGGUGGCGAAGGCGGCCUUCUGGACAGUGACUGACGCUGAGACGCGAAAGCGUGGGGAGCAAACAGG
rnacentral:rRNA from 1 species